rnacentral:rRNA from 1 species
UACGUAGGGUGCGAGCGUUGUCCGGAAUUACUGGGCGUAAAGAGCUCGUAGGUGGUUUGUCGCGUUGUCCGUGAAAACUCACAGCUCAACUGUGGGCGUGCGGGCGAUACGGGCAGACUUGAGUACUGCAGGGGAGACUGGAAUUCCUGGUGUAGCGGUGGAAUGCGCAGAUAUCAGGAGGAACACCGGUGGCGAAGGCGGAUCUCUGGGCCAUUACUGACGCUGAGGAGCGAAAGCGUGGGGGAGCGAACAGG